GCCAGUGUGAUAUAGUGGUUUCAGUGCUGGACUAAGACUCUGGAGACCAGGGUUCAAUUCCCAGCUCGACCA